UCUUUCAGUAGGGAAGAAGCGAAGUGACGGUACCUCAAGACGAAGUACCGGCUAACUAUGUGCCAGCAGCCGCGGUAAUACAUAGGGUGCAAGCGUUGUCCGGAAUUAUUGGGCGUAAAGAGCUCGUAGGUUGUUUAUCACGUCGGAUGUGAAAAUCUGAGGCUCAACCUCAGACCUGCAUACGAUACGGGUUAACUAGAGUGUGGUAGGGGAGACUGGAAUUCCUGGUGUAGCGGUGGAAUGCGCAGAUAUCAGGAGGAACACCGAUGGCGAAGGCAGGUCUCUGGGCCAUUACUGACACUGAGGAGCGAAAGCGUGGGGAGCGAACAGGAUUAGAUACCCUGGUAGUCCAAGCCGUACACGGUGGAUAGCUAUUGUGGGAACCUUCCACGGUUUCUGAGACGCAGCUAACGCAUUAAGCAUCCCGCCUGGGGAGUACGAUCGCAAGAUUAAAACUCAACAGGAAUUGACGGGGCCCC
rnacentral:rRNA from 1 species